AAUAUAUAGAUACCACGUAUACAUUGAAAUAAUUUUAUAAUAAUAACGAUAAAUACGUAGCCUAUAGAUAGGAAAGACAGCAAUUAUUAGUCGAGUUUAAAAACAGCCAUUAUUUACUAGCUAUCACAACUUUUGCGUCGACUGUCUUCUAACGAGCUUCUAACUGCAAUAAGUAAAUCAAAAUUUACUAAAUAAUGUCCAAGUUCGCUAUUUUUAUAAUAUGUAUGGCUGCAUUGUUUGUCAUUGGAGAUUGUGAACCCAAUCUUAAAGGUUGUCCCCGUUGUGGAAAUGAAGGAGAGAGCUGUACAGAUGCUGACUGCUGUGACGGUUGGGUUUGCGAGCAUAAUCAGCAUUACCAAAGAAGAUGUGCUAGUCCAGUAAAAAAAUAUAGUUUCCAAGUUGGACGUAAACCAGGUGACAGCAAGCGAGGUUAAUAUUUCGCUGAGGCAAACGCGAAACCGUCAAUUAAAUACAUGAAUUUCCCUCUUAACAAAUAAAAAUUAUAAAGUAAAUGACCUAGUACCGGCAAUAACGAGACCCAAUACUGGAACGAUUUGAUAAUAAUUAUUUAAUAUUUAAUCUUGUAUCCGAUUAAAGUUAAUAAAAUUUUCUUUAUUUGCGCCUUAA